rnacentral:rRNA from 1 species
GUAGGUGGCAAGCGUUGUCCGGAAUUAUUGGGCGUAAAGCGCGCGCAGGCGGGGUCCUUUAAGUCUGAUGUGAAAGCCCACGGGCUCAACCGUGGAGGGUCAUUGGAAACUGGGGGACUUGAGUACAGAAGAGGAAAGCGGAAUUCCACGUGUAGCGGUGAAAUGCGUAGAGAUGUGGAGGAACACCAGUGGCGAAGGCGGCUUUCUGGUCUGUAACUGACGCUGAGGCGCGAAAGCGUGGGGAGCAAACAGGAUUAGAUACCCUGGUAGUCCACGCCGUAAACGAUGAGUGCUAAGUGUUAGGGGGUUUCCGCCCCUUAGUGCUGCAGCUAACGCAUUAAGCACUCCGCCUGGGGAGUACGGCCGCAAGGCUG